GUCAGGUAGCUGUCAGCUGUGACCUUUUGCCACUUGUGUUGUCCAUUCACUCUAUUGACUACAAUACACUCAAAACCAAUUUGGCAAAUUAGUGGAAUAAAAAAGCCAUCAAGGUUAUCAAAGACAGGUGGCAGUUUUGUCAGGUGCUCAUAGAGAAUCAUGAGGAAGUACUGCCUGGUUUGCCUGCAGUUCUGCUCUGUGCCUAGAGACUGGCCCAGAUGGACAGCUGCUGGGACUGCUCCUCUGCCUGCUACUGCAGGAGGGAGGACCACUGAAUUCAAUGCAUGUUAUACGCCUUAGGGCUGUUGAAGAUCCCAAUGGAGAAAUAGCAUCUUUGUGCCCUCUUUCGUUUUUACUUGUUCUUGACAGCAAUGUAACAGGUGAGAUGAGUGCUGCUUGCGUCAGAGCACAGCAGCCUGCCUUAUGCUAUGUACCAGUGAAGAGGUGA
rnacentral:lncRNA from 1 species